GUCACUUCCGGUAUCACCUGUGUGGUUACCGGGAGCUGUAAACAAGGUGUGCAAGCAUCCAGAGAGCUGUCGGGAUGCAGCAGAGCGGAGCGGGUGGAGGCCGUGGCUGCGCUCUGCUCCCACUGCUGGGCGUCCUGCUCUUCCAGGGUGUUUACAUCGCCCUUUCCUUGGAGAUUAAAGCGGAUGCGCAUGUCCGGGGUUACGUUGGAGAGAAGAUCAAGUUGAAAUGCACCUUCAGGUCGACUUCAUCUAUCACUGACAAACUCACCAUAGACUGGACGUACCGACCCCCCAGCAGCAGUCGUACCGAAUCCAUUUUUCAUUAUCAGUCUUUCCAGUAUCCAACCACAGCAGGCACGUUUCGGGAUCGAAUUUCCUGGGCUGGAGAUGUGUACAGAGGGGAUGCGUCUAUAAGCAUCAGCAACCCUACCCUCAAGGACAAUGGGACAUUCAGCUGUGCCGUGAAGAAUCCCCCAGACGUGCACCACAACAUUCCCGUGACAGAGCUAACGGUCACAGAGAGGGGGUUUGGUAUCAUGCUCUCCUCCGUGGCCCUCCUCUCCGUCCUUGUCUUCGUCCCCUCAGCCGUGGUGGUUGUCCUGCUGCUGGUGAGGAUGGGGAGGAAAUCAGCUGGGCUGAAGAAGAGGAACAAGUCUGGCUACAAGAAGUCGUCUAUUGAGGUGUCAGAUGAAAGACCCAGAUGAAGUGUCUCCUUCUCGUGAGUGUCCCUGAGUCGUCCCCCUCCCCCCCACCCCGGAGAGUAGGCCACUCCCUCCUCUUUGCUGCCAUAGCAGUUUGACCUUAAAGACUGAAACAUUUUAUUACAUCGUGUCAUAAAGUACUCAUUAAGUUUCAACAGGUUUCACACACCCAUGAGAUUGUGAGCUCUUUAAGGGGCAGUGUUUUAUUUAUGUCUGUACCCCCAGCUCAGCACAAUGGCUCAUCCGUGGUGGCUCAUACAUUCGUUUCUAAAUGAACGAUUGGGAACAACCCCUAUUUAUUGGGCACUUCCUAUGUGUCAGGCACUGUGGGACGUGUUUUACAUGUGGUUAUUUUUUAUCCCAGAGCUUAAGUCACCUGCCUAGUCACCCUGCUAGUAAGUGGCAGAACUGGAAUUUAAAACGCCACCUGUCUGACUUCAACAGCGGCGUGCUUAACUGCUCUACUGUGCCGAGGACAGUCAUUGUUCAGAUCUGGUUUGUCCUUUUUCUCCAGCACUGACCAGGAGGAGGCGGACGACUGCAUGGCGAGGCUUUGUGUUCGUUGCGCCGAGUGCCUGGAUUCAGACUAUGAAGAGACAUAUUGAUGAAAGGCUUCAUGAUGUAAGAAGAGUCACCUGAUAGAAAAUAUCCCGUCCCACUGGCAGCUAAAGCCUCUCAGAGAAUCGAAGCUGCUUGGAUCGCUGUGCCGGAGGAUUCUGGAAGCCAUCCGUAGAGACGUUAGGAACCAUUUAUUUAUUGAACAACUGUUCUUUUUAUAUUUAUGAACUGUUCCAGAACUCCCAGAAGAAACUCCUACCUACCCCUUCUAAUAACUUAUGCUCUAAUUGAAUGAAGGAAUUCUCUUCCUGAAUAGAAAGAAACUUUUUGUUUUUGCCUUUGCCCUUGAACGUGUUACGUGCUUUCUUCUGGUUACUUGAGGGAAAAUCCUGAAUGUUGGCCACACCGCUGAGGCCAAAAUAUUUUUAAAAAAUGAAAUGGAGCUUGUAGUGUCCAGAUGUGCGGCGAGACGAGAUGUUUGGGAUAAGUAUUCUUUGGCAUUUGCUCCGUGAAUGUUUUCAGCUGCGGAUCAGCGCACAGCAUGUACUCCUUGGUUUAAUGACAUCAUCCGUUGUGUUUGGGUGACUCGGAACUCUAAUUUCCAUAGAGUCGGUAGGGCCCGGAGCCCAUGGUUUGCUUUGACUGGGCUUUUAAAGUAUUAAAGUGUCGUCAGUGUCCAAUUAAGGAAAGGAACGGUGACGUAGAGGGAUCCCUUUCUUUUGUGUUGCUAGGUGCAGCUUCGAAAGGUUUUGUGUUUUUUUUGUGGGGAAAUGUAUAGACUAUUUUAUCAGUUAUUUGCAAGGAAAUCAUCUUUUUUUUUUUUUUUUUUUUUUUAACAAAUGCCACUCCAGAGUUCAAAUGUUGGAUUUACUUUAACGAGGCUUAUGUUUAUCGGAAAUCAUCUUUUGACCUUUGUUAUUCUUCAGAACUUUUCUGAGUUCUAAAAUGCGCCAAAUAUGAGUGAACCAAGGUAUUUGCAAACUGUUUUUGUUUAUGUCGUAUUUGACAUAAGGAAGUGAGGUCUAUACUUCUCUAUAGUCUAUACUUCUCAUUUCUAUUCUCUCAGUACCUUAUAUCAGCUUCCUCCAUUUUCCUGCAGCAACUGAUUUCAAAUUUUAAUUUACGUGGGAUUUUCUACAAGCCACUAAGUAAUACGUGUGACAUGUCCAGAAGGGCUGAUAGUAUAGUCCUCUGUAAAAGAGCGAUAGAGUUCACUUCUCGAUUAUGAGAGACAAAAAUUAUCCUCCCUCCUCCCGUCUUUGUUUUUUGUUUUGUUUUGUUUUGUUUUCCCAUGGUUCUUCACUAGGUGGCUAGGGAGGUUUCCAUAUUAUAGCCUAAUACACCCCAUGUGUUACACAAAAAAUCACUUUGCCCAGAUUUAUGUUUAAAAAUUUGGGUCAUUAGUUCUGGAAGUCAUCAGUAAAGCCUUUAAGAAUUAUGAUAUGGGUUUGGCCUGGCCUCGUUUGUUAAUCUAGUCCAUACAUAAGAGAGUCUGGUUCAUUAACAGAUAUUACGAUUUACCUCUGGUCACGUAAGGAAGUGAAAGAGGCAAAGACACAUUGACUGUUUAUUUCCAGUGGUUGAGCCUCAGAGUCUUGGGCUAUUUGUCAAGUAUAUGGUUGUCUGGGGCCAGCCUGGUGACAGACACUCUGACACCACAGCAGAGAGGGGAAAACAUAUUUGAGCAACAAGAGUAAAUAAUUUGGGUUCUGGGAGAUUUGAAGAUAGAGACCCAAUUGUGGGGUAGACUUUUUGUGGGUCUGAGAAAGAGAUGAUGUGACAGGAACCCAGUUAAAACCGCAUUUCAUGAAUUGAGGAACCGGGUUUGUCUGGGGUUUCUUGUAAUUUCCUUUCAGGUGUGUUAUGAGGAUUAAUCCAGUUGUAGUAAGCUUGUCACUGUAGGUAAAGGGUGCUGUGUGACCACUUGGUCAUGUUAUUUUGUAGCCUCGAUCGUGAUUUGAACAAGUCCCUUUCUUUUUAAGUGACCGAACAACAGCAUCCUUCGUGGUAAGAGAGUAGACUGGGGAUUUAGUCGUCUCCGUGGGUUUAUGGUCGCACCAGUCAUAAGGCUUCUGUCAGCGUUCUUCUUUAUCUCUUACAUUGAGGUCUGGGUUACAGCCUUCCCCCCACCCCCAAAAGGAGCAAAAAGCAGUUCCUUUUUUUUUAAAGAUGGAAGAAAGAUAACUUUUUUAAACGUACUCUUUUUAAUACCUUCUAAGGUGCUAUUCUCCCUCUCUCUCGUUUUCUUCUCGCUGCUCUGUAUGCAGAACACAUCAAAUGAAGACCAGCCUUGUCUAGAGAGGGAAUUGAAUUCUGAAAGCUUCAGAGGGGGUUAAAAGCCUUUCAGAAUUUUUCUUUGGCUGCCGGCGGCUUUCCUCGUGGCUACACUAUCUUACAAGUUUCGUGCAUUGAGCUCUCAAUUCCGUUAUCGAAUGUGAAUUUAUGAAAUGCUUUGUGUUUCCCACGGGUCCCCUUGCCCCAGGCUUCGUGGAGAAGGUACUAGGUCUCCGCAACUCCCAAAUCGUGCGCUGGUGUUUCAAGAGGGAACGUUGAAUGUUCCUGUUUAAGGAGAAUGUUUGGAGGCCAAAUCCUCAAUCUGAACCUUCUGUCGUGUCACUCAGUUACGGUUCUAAAAGGGAGCCGGGAAGACCCCCCGGAGAGCGGACCAAGACUGUCAUUUAAUUGCACAACAGAAGAGGCAGCCCCAUUCGUUCGAUUCCUGCGUUGGACUGUUGUUAACCGCUGCAUUUCACAGCAUUUUUGUUUUGUUUUGUUUUGUUUUGUUUUGCGGGAGAGUGUGCACUGUUGGGCCAUGUGCACAGACGUUGUAACUCUUGAUAUCUUUACCACAUCACAGUUAAUAAACUGCUUUGCACUUUC